GCCUGGUUAGCUCAAUCGGUAGAGCGUGAGACUCUUAGAGUUCACUUUCUCAGAAAGCGAUUGAUCCAAUCUCAAGGUUGCGGGUUCGACCCCCGCAUCGGGCU
rnacentral:tRNA from 1 species